AGAUUGCCGCUGGGCCGCCGGGAUCAAGUGGGAGGCGCUGCGCAGGAUCACCGGGAGGGAGAUGGACGGGAUCCCGCUCGAUGGGUUCGACUACGCGUCCAUCCUCAGCCAGUGCUGCGAGCUGCCGGUGGGGUUCGUGCAGCUUCCCGUGGGCGUCACCGACCCGCUCCUUCUCGACGGCCGCCGGCUCUACGUACCAAUGGCCACCACCGAGGGCUGCCUCGUCGCCAGCACCAACCGCGGAUGCAAGGCCAUUGCCGAGUCCAGUGGGGCCUCUAGCGUCGUGCUCAAUGAUGGGAUGACGCGAGCCCCGGCCGUCCGGUUCCCAUCUGCACGCCGCGCCGCCGAGCUCAAAGCCUUCUUGGAGGACCAAUGAACUUUGACACCCUGGCUAUGGUGUUUAACAGGUAAGAACGCUAGAUUCUAAAUCAACGACACAUUGUCCCUUUUGCUUUCGACCCAUGCUCCACGCGCGCUCUUGUGCUUGACAACACAUCUCUGUGUAUCCAUCCCGAUCAAAGCAACAGUUGGCAUCUGUCAAUUUUUAAACCCAUAAAUUGCCUGUACUGUUGCCCACUUUUUUAUAACUUGAGGAUUUAGGCUGGGAUUAUGUGAGAUGUGACCGACCUGUUUUGGGAAAUAUUUGUGUAGGUCGAGCAGAUUUGGAAGGUUGCAGGGAGUGAAGUGUGUGAUUACAGGGAGGAACCUUUACAUGAGGUUCAGCUGUAGCACAGGGGAUGCCAUGGGGAUGAAGAUGGUCUCCAAAGGUGUACAGAACGUGCUGGACUACCUCCAGGCUGACUUCCCUGAUAUGGAUGUCAUCAACAUAUCAGACGCAGUUAAUGCUUAAUCCUCAGAGCUGCAUAUAACCAAGUGGUGCUUACCUGGAUUUGAGGACCUCUGAUGCUUGUUUAUCUCAAGAGUGCUGGUCGGUUCCUGUUGGCUAUAAGAUAUUCAGAUAGAGUAUGCCUGUCCAACUGAAGUAGGCGUCCACAGAGAAGAAUGAUAAAUUGCUAUUAAUUUGUUUCGUUGUUUUUCCCUGAUCCGUAAUUUGAUUUUAGAUGCAGUACUCACGAUCCAACCUAUUUGGGAUGCAGUACUCGCGCAAGCGCUACUUCGUGCUCGAGGACGCCGCGCUCCGCUGCUUCAAGUCCACGUCGUCCUCCAAGGGCGAGGUACCCUAUUGCCACCACUGAAUAACUACAGGCCCCCUCCAAUCAUGUUUCGUUGUUUUUCCCUGAUCCGUAAUUUGAUUUUAGUUGUUUUUUGUGCUUCAAGUCUGCGCCGUCCUCCAAGGGUGAGGUACCCUAUUGCCACCACUGAAUAACUACAGGCCCCUCCAAUCUUGUUUCGUUGUUUUUCCCUGAUCCGUAAUUUGAUUUUAGUUGUUUUUUGUGCUCCAUGAUUUGAUUUUGGAUAGUGAAGAUAAACUAAUGCAUAAUCCAGCACUUGAUCCGAGGCAGGCUUCUGUCGAGCGACUGAUGCGCAGACAUCUCUGUAUCUGAGUCCUUAACAUCCUGUAAUGAUUUUGACCAUUGUUUUCUAUUCUUGUGCUGUUGAAUUGCAUCUCUAUAUUUUUCUUUGUAGUAUCUGAUGGCGAAACCUCGAAACAAUCUUAGAACACAUUUCGACACAUUGCUAGCAGCACUUUGAGUGAUAAGUAUAUUAUUUUCUAAUGAUGCUGCAAUUAUGCUUCAAUUCUACAAGGUGGAUUCUUUCAUGGUGUUCGCAGUCUAAGUUUUGGGGUUGACCUUCAAGAAAUAAGGCUGAUGGGUGUACUGCAGAGAAUUACAAUAGCUUAUCUGCUGACCGCCCUCUGUGAGAUUUGGAUCAAAGGAGAUGAAGAUGUAGACUAUGGAUACGAUUUGCUCAAGCGAUACCGCUACUAGCUGCGCAGUCGUGGCGAUCACAUACAAGUCCCUGUUGUACGGUAUCUAUGUUCCUGACUGGGAGUACCAGACAUCAGCUCCUGGCUCCACAGAGAAGCAUUUCUUUCAAUGCAGCAUCGACUCGCCACAAAAUGGCCCCCUUCCUCCUGAUGCGCCCUCUUGGUGCCAGGCCCCUUUUGACCCCCAUCUUACAACGUGGUGGACGAGGAGGACGAGCCGCCGGCGGUGGCGAAAGUCGGUCUCGGGCCACGAUGGUGUCGAGCACCGGCGGCGCGUUGUCGUCGUUGGGGAAGAAUGAGUCCUACCUGUGUGCUAACAAGGUCGACCUCGAGAGCCUAGACAUCCAACUGGACAACAGGCGCUGAUCCUGCUCGCUCACCCUCGGCCCGCUGCCGACCGCCCCCAAGGUGCCCGCUGGUGUCUCUGCCAAACGUGCCUUCCCAGGCCCGCCCAGCGCCCCGUCGCUGCCUGGGCUACCGACGACAAGCAGGCCUUCACCGUCGCGCCGCCGGCCGCCAAAGCGUAGGUGGUGGGAUGGCCACCCGUGCAGAACUACCGAAAGAACACCCUCGCCGCGAGCUCCUCCAGGAGAAAGGCACCGGCAGAGGACGCAACGUCCACAGCUCAGACCAUGUAUGUGAAGGUCAGCAUGGACGACGCGCCCUACCUCAAGAUGGUGGACAUCAAGAUGUACUCCAACUACGAGGACCUCUCCAUGGCGCUUGAGAAGAUGUUCAACUGCUUCAUCAUUGAUCAUGUUUCCUUCAACACUACAAGGAACUGGUGAAAAUUGGACAAUGAUGAAGACCAUUUGUGUCACUGAAUAUCUAAAUUACAAAGGAGGUGAAGCAGGGCAGAACAAGAAGAGGCAGGUUUCAAUCUCGAAGUGGACAGCUCUUCGCUGUGGCACUUUUUGAUUCGUGAUGGUCUCAGAUGAAAAUCUCGGGCUGAGAAGAAUGAACGAUAUAUGCAAAAGCUCACAAGGAGCAGGCUGAGAGAGAUAGAAUUGGAGACACUUUAGACUUUGAAAUUAAGAGGUGGUCUACUGGAAAACAGGGCAACUUGCGUGCUUUGUUAUCAACUUUACAAUAUAUUCGUCCGAGUGACAAGAAGGUAGAUUACCAAAUCCAGAAGCUCACCAAUGCAGCUAACAAUGCCACUGCUCGAGAGAAAUCAGGAAAUGCAGAGGCGAAUGGGAAGGAUGGGCAUUCGGAUGAGGAAGACCUCCUGAAGUAUAGGCCAAACCCAGAUAUGAUGGACACAGACUGGUCCUGAUGGUCAGUUAACGAAGCGGAGCACCUGAACUAGUAGUCACGUCUGCAAUAUACACACCAACAAAACACUCCUGUAACACUAAUCAGUUCAUGCAUAUCCUUGACUGAAGACGAUGUUGCAAAGGUUUCAGACAUCAGCUUUGGUGUUGACAAGAAACAAGAUGACGAGUACAAUGCUCCUGAUGAGUACAACACAGUGUAUAAGUUUGCUUUGUACUGCUUGAGACCAUCUCUGGAAGGCGUUCAUAUUUUGACGACGAUGUGCUCCUAUAUUUUCCUUUCUGAAUACCAAAUUCUUUAACGUGUCCUCUUGUGUGGAAUCAAGUUCCUAAUUUUGCUAGAGCAAUACUUGAAAAGAGGAAUCACAAUUAGUUGUUUUUCAUGUGAUUGUAUAACAAUUUCUUGUAAAUGAAUAUAAUGCUGACUAAUUUACUUUUUGUGUG